rnacentral:tRNA from 1 species
UUAAUUGAAACCAAAAUAGAGGUAUAUCACUGUUAAUGAUAUCAUUGUUAAUAACCCAAUUAAA